UUUACUUUCAGCAAGAUUAAAAAACAAAAAAAAUCUCGUUCUCUUCUCUGAUGAUUAGGGUUCAACCACUUCAGUUUCUAAUAACGGAUGAAGUCUCAAAUCAAUAAUCUCUCCGAGAUUAAGGUCGAACGAUUUGCUGAUUUCAGAGAUCUCAAAUCCCAAAUCAAGCCCUAAUCUCAAAUCUCAAAAAAUUUCAUUCCUCGGAGUUUGAAUCAAUUGCCGAAGCUUGAUUUUGAAUCAAUUGCUGAAAUUUUUGGAUUCGCUGUUAAAUCUUGCAUAUCUUAACUAUCUCAAGGAUAAAUACAUGAUAAUAAUGGGAUAUUGGGUUUGGAAGGUAAUGUUUUGAAGAUGAAGAGAUGAUUGCAGACAUGGGUUUUGUUUGAUUCAUGGCCUACAUGAAGUUGGAAGAUGUUGAUGGCUGGUAUAGAGAUUCUUACAGCAAGGAAGUCCUACUAAGAGCAGUGGUGUAGUUAGACCUCAGUUUGAAUCUAACCUUAUUCCUUAAGUCAUGAUUGAAACUCCCUGAAGAACAACGUGACCCUGAUGAUUAUAAAGCAAGAUGCAGGAGAUAUGUGGGAAUGGUAAAAGAGCUUCUACAAACUCUGCAGUAUAGGAAGAGACCCGUAUGGAUAGGGACGCAAUCGCGGAGGUGGGUGCAUAUGAAUUUCAAAUUGUUAACCUUUUAGUUACUAACCCAUUUUGUUUACAUGUUCAUAGGUGUUUGGGUAUGAUCGUGGGGGCUUCGUCCGGGGUAUGGUAGGUGGUGUCUUGAAGACUGAAUUGCUUGCUUUUGUAUUUCCCGUGACUGAGUAAUUGUCACUUAAAAGUUGCAGGUUGUUAAUGUUUUAUGUGUAAGUGUUUGUCGUUGCAGGAACACCCAGCAUCUCUGAUUCCACUUCAGAAUUGCAUCCACGCUUUGGGCUAUUUGCAGCAUGCAAUUAGCCAAUUACAGAUUCUCCAAUAAACUUGAAUAAUGUUAUUUGAAGACCAAAAAGUUCAGCUAUAGUUCAACAGCAGAAUCAUGGGUCCUACAACUUUCUUAUUGCUUAAAAAGUUUCUUUUUGAUUUGGUGCUUGUGGCAGGUCCUUCGUGGUGUGGAUGGCGCUGGAUUUUGUAAAGAGGCUUUUGAACAAGGACCAGAGGAAAAGAAUGACUGUUGCGCAGGCUUUGAGGAAACUUUUUUGACAAACUGGAAGCAUCAUAUAGCUUAAACGCCUUGACAGUAUUCUCCUUCGAGUUCGUAUCAUGUUUCUUUCUGUCGAUUCAGAAACACCAAAAGUCAAAUAACAACAUCUUUUACAGAUAAGAUGAGCUGAGACGCAUUAGAGAAGAGAUUAUUGUUGCUUGGGGUGAUAAGGAUGAGCUGAGACGCAUCAGAUGUUGUUGCUAUAAACCAAUAGUUAAUUGACAAGCCUUACGCUUGCUGCUUAUGAAGUGACCAAGGUCCAAGACUGAACGAGGAAGUACUUAAUGUUCACUGGUGUAUGUCAUCUAUUUUUUUUUUUUUGUUACUUGUCAUUCUUUUUCAGAGGUAUACUGAAUAACUCUUUAGUGUAAGAUUUCACGAAUUUCCGAAGUUCAAUUAUAGUUUUUAGAAUUAAUG